UAGCUUUACGUAAUGAAGAAGGUGACGU
rnacentral:sRNA from 1 species